rnacentral:rRNA from 1 species
UACGAAGGAUCCCAAGCGUUAUCCGGAUUUAUUGGGUUUAAAGGGUGCGUAGGCGGCUUAUUAAGUCAGAGGUGAAAGCCUGGAGCUUAACUCCAGAACUGCCUUUGAUACUGAUGAGCUUGAGUAUAUUUGAAGUGGGCGGAAUGUGUCAUGUAGCGGUGAAAUGCUUAGAUAUGACACAGAACACCAAUUGCGAAGGCAGCUCACUAAGCUAUAACUGACGCUCAUGCACGAAAGCGUGGGGAUCAAACAGGAUUAGAUACCCCAGUAGU